rnacentral:misc_RNA from 1 species
GCACGUACAGAUGGACACGAAUAGGCUUCGGCUUAGCGUCUUAGCAGGCGAUUACUCCACUGCUCUCGAAGCGAGUAGUGGUAUUUCGCGAAUUGUAAUUUCAGCACGAGCGGGGUUAAAUCCUUUGCAGACGACUUAGAUGUGCGAAAGGGUCCUGUAAGCAGUAGAGUAGCCUUGUUGUUACGAUCUGCUGAGGGUAAGCCCUCCUUCGCCUCGAUUUCCUCAUGAACUCCAGCGGCCGACGGCCGCGAGCACACGAGGGUUAGGGGACUGCCGCGGGCAGGGACUUGAGGGGCCGCGCCGACGAUUCGGUGCGGCCAAGUCUCGUCUCGACGACGCAAGUACCCUGGAAAGGAUAUUGCGGACGGCCGUGACGGCCAAGUGCGUGUCCGCGACGCCAGGUACCCUGGAAGGGACGCGGUCGAGGCCCGAGACGUGCAACGCAGAACGAAGUGCCCGAGUGCGCCGGGUACCCUGCAAUAGGCUUUAGAGGGCGAGGCGCCAGGUACCCCGGAAAGGGCCUGGGGUGGCCAAGUACCCUGGAGAGCGAUUCCCUAGUACCCUGGAAAGGAGAUGGAUGCUGAGCCCCCUGGAAUGGCCAAGUACCCUGGAGCAGAAUUCCCGAGUACCCCGGAAAGCGAUUCCCAAGUACCCUGGAGCAGAAUUCCCGAGUACCCCGGAAAGCGAUUCCCAGGUACCCUGGAAAGCAAUUCCUACGCACCCUGGAGCAGAAUUCCCGAGUACCCCGGAAAGCGAUUCCCAAGUACCCUGGAAAGCAGUUCCCAAGUACCCUGGAGCAGAAUUCCCAGGUACCCUGGAAAGCAAUUCCUACGCACCCUGGAGCAGAAUUCCCGAGUACCCCGGAAAGCGAUUCCCAAGUACCCUGGAAAGCAAUUCCUACGCACCCUAGGGCGGAAUUCCCAGGUACCCUGGAAAGCAAUUCCUACGCACCCUAGGGCGGAAUUCCCAAGUACCCUAGGGUAGAAGCCUUAAGUACCCUAUAAAGCAGUCUUUAGGUACCUUAGAAAGGAGAUCCUAAGUGUAAAUAUUUUUUCGGUAAAUAAAAUAGACAUAGAAGUAGCUGUAGUAGAGAAGUAGUAGGAUUAGAAGCGUUACUUAUACUAAGGCCUAUAUUAUAAAACUGUUAAAUAGGGUACUAGAAAAUAAAAGAGUUAUUAAGGGACUAUACAAAGGAGGUUAGAUUAAGAGGGGAGCUUUUUCUUAAAAGGUAAGUAGUAUUCUACUUUUAUACAGUCACCUCUCUUAAUAAGGGUAGAAGAUAAGAUAGAAAUAGGCUAUCUAUACAGGUAAGGAUAUAUAGUAACGCCUACAUAGUAUAAAGAAUAGAGUGUCUAAGUAUAGUAGUAAAAGUAAAUAGUACUAAGACUAGAAUAAUAUAUACUUAUAUAUUAGAUUCUAAGACGUAUAUACAAGAGAGAAGCUUUAAUGCUUAUAGUAGACUAUAGGUUUAUAAAGAAUAGAGAUAAGUAAAGACGGAGAUAAAGGCAGACCUCUAAAGGAAAGCUACUUUAUGGAAAGGAAGUCUAGGUACCCUAGGAAGGCCAAGUACCCUGGAAAGAACGUCCUAGGUACCCUGGAAAGGCCAAGUACCCUGGAAAAAGUCCCAGGUACCCUGGAAAGGCCAAGUACCCUGGAAAAAGUCCCAGGUACCCUGGAAAGGCCAAGUACCCUGGAAAAAGUCCCAGGUACCCUGGAAAGGCCAAGUACCCUGGAAAAAGUCCCAGGUACCCUGGAAAGGCCAAGUACCCUGGAAAAAGUCCCAGGUACCCUGGAAAGGCCAAGUACCCUGGAAAAAGUCCCAGGUACCCUGGAAAGGCCAAGUACCCUGGAAAAAGUCCCAGGUACCCUGGAAAGGGACUUUCUACCUUGGCGCCUAGGCUAUAAGUAGGUAGUAUAGGGCUGUAGAGCGCCUCUAGGGGAGCCUAGCGCACCAGGCCCUAUAGCUAUAGCGCCUACAGCGGGCGAGAAAACCGCUGCGGAAGUUCAAAAAACCGGCGGUUGGACUGCGGGGUGGGCGCCCGCGGGCUGCCCGGCACGGCGGGCUUAUAGAGCUCGCUGCGGCGGUUACAGCGCCGUAAGGCCCUAUACGGUAGGCACUAUAGCGCUGGAGAUACGGCGGCCCAAAGCCGCAGGUACCCUGGAAGGCAAUUGUCAAGUACCCUGGAAGGGAAAAAGAGGUGGGCCGCAGGGCGCCGCCGAGCAGCUGGUGGCGGCGACGACGUGGGCGGUCGACGGGCAUACCUGGGUUUUGCGUGCGGGAUCGGAUAAGGUUUUGGUGGCCGUGAGUCGAUUUUUUUGUUUUCCCAUACAAAUCUUUUUUUCGGGAAAUGUUUUUUCGGGACAGAAGCAGGUGGAGCGGGGCCGGGGCGCAAAAAGUGUCGCAGGGCCUAUGAGAAGAGAGCGAGUGCAGCCAACCGGCGGCACAGCGCAACUGCUCCACCCGCUGAGGGUGCGCGCUGUAGAAAUACAGCGCAACCGUCCCAUAUCUUAAUGACUGCUGCGUGGCGUCUCUCUGAACAGCCUCGCAGGUAUCUUCCUCGGUGGCGGGGAGUUCGUAGCAGCAGUCGACGCCCACUGUGGUGCACCGCUAAGGCGGCGCAUCAUCCUGGGAGUGCCCGGAGGGUUUGGGGGUCACGAGCCCCUAGACCCGAAGGAUGGGUUCUGUGGAUGAAUGGCCGUUGGCUAUACUUACACUGAGCAUCGGGAGAGAAACGCCCGCGGUCGGACGCUGAAUAGCUGAAGCCGCGGGGCCAGUUGCUCCUCUUGGGACCCCCCAACCACGCAACCCCCCCGGGGGCACAGCGCGGUGAACGGGGUCCUGGGGAAUUCAGAGGGGGAAAGCGGAAGCUUCCUCUGCGCCUACGGCCUAGCCGGACGGCCGCAGGGGGGGCGCGAGCGCUGUUUCGGCAGCGUGAGCGAUUCCGGUGACUAAAACGCUUCGGCCGCUGCUUG